GGAUUCCCCGWGWAGCGGCGAGCGAAACGGGAAGAGCCCAGCGCUGAAUCCUGCGGCCCCGGCGGUCCGCCGGGAAAUGUAGCGUUAGGGAGGAGAGKUAAUCAUAUUCGCGCGGUCAUUAGUCACGGCGGCCAGUCCAAGUCCAUCUUGAAGGGGGCCCCGCUUAUCCGUAGAGGGUGCCAGGCCCGUGGUGACGGUCGCCGGCCGCGACGGUCUCUCUCCCCAGAGUCGGGUUGCUUGAGAGUGCAGCCCUAAGCGGGUGGUAAACUCCAUCUAAGGCUAAAUACGACCGCGAGACCGAUAGCGAACAAGUACCGUGAGG
rnacentral:rRNA from 1 species